UGGGGAAUUUUGGACAAUGGGGGAAACCCUGAUCCAGCCAUCCCGCGUGUGCGAUGAAGGCCUUCGGGUUGUAAAGCACUUUUGUCAGGAAAGAAACGUCAUGGGUUAAUACCCCGUGAAACUGACGGUACCUGCAGAAUAAGCACCGGCUAACUACGUGCCAGCAGCCGCGGUAAUACGUAGGGUGCAAGCGUUAAUCGGAAUUACUGGGCGUAAAGCGUGCGCAGGCGGUUCGGAAAGAAAGAUGUGAAAUCCCAGAGCUCAACUUUGGAACUGCAUUUUUAACUACCGGGCUAGAGUGUGUCAGAGGGAGGUGGAAUUCCGCGUGUGGCAGUGAAAUGCGUAGAUAUGCGGAGGAACACCGAUGGCGAAGGCAGCCUCCUGGGAUAACACUGACGCUCAUGCACGAAAGCGUGGGGAGCAAACAGG
rnacentral:rRNA from 1 species